rnacentral:rRNA from 1 species
UACGUAGGGUGCGAGCGUUGUCCGGAAUUAUUGGGCGUAAAGAGCUCGUAGGCGGUCUGUCGCGUCUGCUGUGAAAACCCGAGGCUCAACCUCGGGCCUGCAGUGGGUACGGGCAGACUAGAGUGCGGUAGGGGAGAAUGGAAUUCCUGGUGUAGCGGUGGAAUGCGCAGAUAUCAGGAGGAACACCGAUGGCGAAGGCAGGUCUCUGGGCCGAUACUGACGCUGAGGAGCGAAAGCGUGGGGAGCGAACAGG